GUGCUUGCUUUGACAGCACAUGUACUAAAAUUGGAAUGGUACAGAGAAGAUUAGCAUGGUUCCUGUGAGAGGAUGACAUGCAAAUUCGUGAAGCGUUCUAUAUUUUU